rnacentral:sRNA from 1 species
GGUUCUGGGUCGGGCUGACGAUUGGGUAUAUGAAGGUUGUGCCUAUGGUAGCGGUGAGCUUUUAUGUGUAUGAAAGGUCGAAGUGGUGGUUAGGGAUUUAGGAAUUGGAUUAGGUGGGUCGGUGGCAUUUUUUUUUCUUUUUUGUUUUCUGGUUUUAUAUAUAUUGUAUGUUUGUAUGUAUGUAUGUAUGUGUUUCUUUGUUUCUUGUUUCUUGUCCUUGUUUCUGUUGCAUUGAGCGAGAUAUAGCUAUUUUCUAUGUCUGUUCCAUCUCUAGAUAGGAUUCUGUGAGGGACAAGGGAGUCCCCACCCCUUUUUAUUUUUAUUUUUAUUUUUAUUUCUGGGACAUGGCACAUGCUAUUCCUUCCGCAUUUCUCUCUGCUUUAUGCUCUUCAUAUAUUUGAUUUAAAGCUCAGCGCUUGUAUGUAUAUAGAGGCAUAGCUGUCCCCCUCACAGCUGUACAUAUGGACUAUCCCCUUUGUUGUUUCUAUCGUCCGUAUCUAUUUAUCCGUGUCAAUUGCACCCUUUUUUCCCCUGCAUGCUGUCUUUUAUCCCUACCCACCCCCCCCCUUCUUGCAUAAGGAUUGAUGUCACUCCAAUAGAUACCUCUUUAUAUAU